rnacentral:rRNA from 1 species
UUCCAGACUCCUACGGGAGGCAGCAGUGAGGAAUAUUGGUCAAUGGGCGAGAGCCUGAACCAGCCAAGUCGCGUGAAGGAUGACGGCCCUACGGGUUGUAAACUUCUUUUGUCAGGGAGCAAUUGGGUCCACGCGUGGGCUUAGCGAGAGUACCUGAAGAAAAAGCAUCGGCUAACUCCGUGCCAGCAGCCGCGGUAAUACGGAGGAUGCGAGCGUUAUCCGGAUUUAUUGGGUGUAAAGGGUGCGUAGACGGGAAAUUAAGUUAGUUGUGAAAUCCCUCGGCUCAACUGAGGAACUGCAACUAAAACUGAUUUUCUUGAGUGCAGGAGAGGUAAGUGGAAUUCCUAGUGUAGCGGUGAAAUGCGUAGAUAUUAGGAGGAACACCAGUGGCGAAGGCGACUUACUGGACUGUAACUGACGUUGAGGCACGAAAGUGUGGGGAGCAAACAGGAUUAGAUACCCGAGUAUU